rnacentral:lncRNA from 1 species
UCGAUAUUUAGAAGCAUUUCAAAUUAUUAAAUCAAUUACAAAGAAAUAAGAUUCUCUACUUAACACACUAUUUCUUAACGUCGUAUCUUGACGUUUUCUCUUCCAUGUGGAUAUUUAUGAUGGAUCUCUUAUUCUAGUAUUAAAUAAAAAAUGUAGCUCGUCCUCAACUCUUUAUUAUCUCGACCUGAAUCCCACGCUGGGAGGGAAACAGUCUGAACAGGGUGUUGUAAUUAGUUAAAGGAGCAUUAUGUAGUUUUAAAAAUUCACAAAAAUUCUUUCUACAAUAUCGAUCAGGUAAAAACACAGGCUGAGAAAUUUUCAGAGGAAAUUCAGGUCCACGAAAACACUGUUUGUUUAUAUUUGGCGGACCCUGCCACCUUUCUGUCUACGCAGUUAAACAAAGUGAACUGGUGUUGCCCUCAACAGUCAGUUUGUUUAUUCAGUUUAUUUGGGCACGAAAACAAAGAGAGUUUCUUUGUUUAGUUUGUUUCAGCAUGAAAACAAAAAAAUGAGUCGAUGAAUCAGACUUUCUUUUCUGAUUCGAAUUUUUUCUCUAAAACUACAUAAUACACCUUUAAAAGCUAAAUGACAAAAACUUUACACUAAAACUUGACACAAUGUAGCCUAUGUGUUUUUUUCCAGCAGCUAUCAGUGGACAUAAGAGAUGCAGAGACGACAGGAAGAGUCAAAGGCUGCCACCUGAGAGCGUCCAGAACGGACCUCGCCCCGAAGGUAUGGACAAGCUUCUCAUCACUCUCUUUCUGUCUCAUCAUCGUGUUGACUGGCUGGCUGGCACGCCUGAGGACACGAGGCGGCCAGACAUAGGCACUGGCAGACCUGCAGGUUGACUUUUCAGUGGUAUGUCAGGACUGACUGUAUCUCAGAGGGGUCAUGACCUACCCAGACUGUGACCUGGACAAACAGGACCGAGGAGCUGCAGCAGGACACGGAAUGUCCCUCUUGUUUUGUUUUCGUUUCACUUUUUUGUUGAGAAGCUGGAAUAUGCCUCCCUCUGCACUUGCCGGAGCAAAAGAAAACAUUUUCUUGGCAUCACAUGAGGCGGUUUACAUAAGAGAACGUUGUGUGAGUGUAACGAAAUUAUAAAAGCUUACGCAGUGCUCUGUGUUGCAACUGAAGACGCAUUAUUCUUUCUUUUCUCUUUGUGACUGUCGUCUUCUAAAGCCACUGAGAAUGUAAUUUAUUUUAGGAGCAGCACUUUUUCUUUGUGAACAUAUUUUUGGUGUUAGCACAGCCACUUUAUCUGUACAGUCCCAGAUUAUAUAUGCUCGCUCUGCGUCUGGUGCCAUGUGGAACCAAUUUAUUCUUAAUAAAAAAAAACAAUGUGAGUGAUUUAGAAGGUGUCCACUUGUCUGCAUUUACUGGGUGUCAGCUCCCC